UACGUAGGGUGCAAGCGUUGUCCGGAAUUAUUGGGCGUAAAGGGCGCGUAGGCGGCUUGGCAAGUGGAAGGUGAAAUCCCUCGGCUCAACUGAGGAACUGCCUUCCAGACUGCUUUGCUUGAGUCCGGGAGAGGUGAGUGGAAUUCCCAGUGUAGCGGUGAAAUGCGUAGAUAUUGGGAGGAACACCAGUGGCGAAGGCGGCUCACUGGACCGGAACUGACGCUGAGGCGCGAAAGCGUGGGGAGCAAACGGG
rnacentral:rRNA from 1 species